ACCGGGAUUGCCUCAGUAACGGCGAGUGAAGCGGCAAAAGCUCAAAUUUGAAAUCUGGGCCCUCCGGGGUCCGAGUUGUAAUUUGUAGAGGAUGCUUCGGGUGCGGCCCCUGUCUAAGUGCUCUGGAACGGGCCAUCGGAGAGGGUGAGAAUCCCGUCUGGGACGGGGUGUCCGUGUCCGUGUGAAGCUCCUUCGACGAGUCGAGUUGUUUGGGAAUGCAGCUCUAAAUGGGUGGUAAAUUUCAUCUAAAGCUAAAUAUAGGCCGGAGACCGAUAGCGCACAAGUAGAGUGAUCGAAAGAUGAAAAGCACUUUGAAAAGAGAGUUAAACAGCACGUGAAAUUGUUGAAAGGGAAGCACUUGCAACCAGACUCGCCCACGGGGUUCAGCCGGCUUUCGGGCCGGUGUACUUCCCCGGGGGCGGGCCAGCGUCGGUUUGGGCGGCCGGUUAAAGGCCCCCGGAAUGUAACACCCCUCGGGGUGUCUUAUAGCCGGGGGUGCCAUGCGGCCAGCCCAGACCGAGGAACGCGCUUCGGCACGGACGCUGGCAUAAUGGUUGCAAAUGACCCGUCUUGAAACACGGACCAAGGAGUCUAACAUCUACGCGAGUGUUCGGGUGGCAAACCCGUGCGCGAAGUGAAAGCGAACGGAGGUGGGAGCCCUCUCGAGGGGCGCACCAUCGACCGAUCCUGAAGUCUUCGGAUGGAUUUGAGUAGGAGCGUAGCUGUGGGGACCCGAAAGAUGGUGAACUAUGCCUGAAUAGGGUGAAGCCAGAGGAAACUCUGGUGGAGGCUCGCAGCGGUUCUGACGUGCAAAUCGAUCGUCAAAUUUGGGUAUA
rnacentral:rRNA from 1 species